rnacentral:tRNA from 1 species
ACUUCUAUAGUUUAAAUAAUAAAAUAAAAGUCUCAUGAACUUCAGUUGUAGGCCCAUAUCCCACUAGAAGUU